rnacentral:rRNA from 1 species
UACGUAGGGUGCGAGCGUUGUCCGGAAUUAUUGGGCGUAAAGAGCUCGUAGGCGGUUUGUCGCGUCGGCCGUGAAAACUUGGGGCUUAACCCCAAGCCUGCGGUCGAUACGGGCAGACUUGAGUUCGGCAGGGGAGACUGGAAUUCCAGGUGUAGAGGUGAAAUUCGUAGAUAUCUGGAGGAAUACCGGUGGCGAAGGCGGCCAUCUGGGCCAUUCUUGACGCUGAGACGCGAAAGCGUGGGUAGCAAACGAGG